rfam:TPA: Aspergillus nidulans FGSC A4 chromosome VIII
AUUCGGGUUGAUAACUAGGCGGCGCUUUCGAUCAUUACAAGCUCUGCCCUUUAAGUGCCCGAGAAAUUGAACCCAUCGUCUGUCGCAAGAUGG